rnacentral:rRNA from 1 species
GACGAACGCUGGCGGCGUGCCUAAUACAUGCAAGUAGAACGCUGAAGGAGGAGCUUGCUUCUCCGGAUGAGUUGCGAACGGGUGAGUAACGCGUAGGUAACCUGCCUGGUAGCGGGGGAUAACUAUUGGAAACGAUAGCUAAUACCGCAUAACAGUAGAUAUCGCAUGAUAUCUGCUUGAAAGGUGCAAUUGCAUCACUACCAGAUGGACCUGCGUUGUAUUAGCUAGUUGGUGAGGUAACGGCUCACCAAGGCGACGAUACAUAGCCGACCUGAGAGGGUGAUCGGCCACACUGGGACUGAGACACGGCCCAGACUCCUACGGGAGGCAGCAGUAGGGAAUCUUCGGCAAUGGACGGAAGUCUGACCGAGCAACGCCGCGUGAGUGAAGAAGGGUUUCGGAUCGUAAAACUCUGUUGUAAGAGAAGAACGAGUGUGAGAGUGGAAAGUUCACACUGUGACGGUAUCUUACCAGAAAGGGACGGCUAACUACGUG